rnacentral:rRNA from 1 species
GCGGCCGCGGGAAUUCGAUUAGAGUUUGAUCCUGGCUCAGAACGAACGCUGGCGGCAGGCCUAACACAUGCAAGUCGAACGCUCGUAGCAAUACGGGAGUGGCAGACGGGUGAGUAACGCGUGGGAACGUACCUUUCGGUUCGGAAUAACCCGGGGAAACUCGGGCUAAUACCGGAUACGUCCGCAAGGAGAAAGAUUUAUCGCCGAAAGAUCGGCCCGCGUCGGAUUAGCUAGUUGGUGAGGUAAUGGCUCACCAAGGCGACGAUCCUUAGCUGGUUUGAGAGAACGACCAGCCACACUGGGACUGAGACACGGCCCAGACUCCUACGGGAGGCAGCAGUAGGGAAUCUUGCGCAAUGGGCGAAAGCCUGACGCAGCGACGCCGCGUGCGGGAUGAAGGCCUUCGGGUCGUAAACCGCUUUCAGCAGGGACGAAAUUGACGGUACCUGCAGAAGAAGGCCCGGCCAACUACGUGCCAGCAGCCGCGGUAAUACGAAUCACUAGUGAAUUCGCGGCCGCCUGCAGGUCGACCAUAUGGGAGAGCUCCCAA